rnacentral:rRNA from 1 species
ACGUGCGGUUCUAUUUUGUUGGUUUCUAGAGUCGCCGUAAUGAUUAAUAGGGAUAGUUGGGGGCAUUAGUAUUCAGUUGCUAGAGGUGAAAUUCUUGGAUUUACUGAAGACUAACUACUGCGAAAGCAUUUGCCAAGGAUGUUUUCAUUAAUCAAGAACGAAGGUUAGGGGAUCGAAAACGAUCAGAUACCGUUGUAGUCUUAACAGUAAACUAUGCCGACUAGGGAUCGGGCGACCUCAAUUUGAUGUGUCGCUCGGCACCUUACGAGAAAUCAAAGUCUUUGGGUUCGGGGGGGAGUAUGGUCGCAAGGCUGAAACUUAAAGGAAUUGACGGAAGGGCACCACCAGGAGUGGAGCCUGCGGCUUAAUUUGACUCAACACGGGGAAACUCACCAGGUCCAGACAUAACUAGGAUUGACAGAUUGAUAGCUCUUUCUUGAUUUUAUGGGUGGUGGUGCAUGGCCGUUCUUAGUUGGUGGAGUGAUUUGUCUGGUUAAUUCCGAUAACGAACGAGACCUUCCCGUGCUAAAUAGCCCGGCCGGCUUUGGCUGGUCGCCGGCUUCUUAGACGGACUAUCAGCGUUUAGCUGAUGGAAGUUGGAGGCAAUAACAGGUCUGUGAUGCCCUUAGAUGUUCUGGGCCGCACGCGCGCUACACUGACAGGGCCAGCGAGUCUAUCACCUUGGCCGGAAGGUCUGGGUAAUCUUGU